rnacentral:ribozyme from 1 species
AAGAGGAAGGUAAGUCACGAAGUCACGAACACACACAAAAAAAAAAACAAUUUUCUUUUUUCUUUUCUUUUCUUUUUUCCCGGGAAAAGUUGUGUGAAAAAUCGUUCUGAC